UCUUCUUCCUAGGCAUGCCACAACCACACCAUCCAGUUUGCCUUCCUGGUCCUCCAGGAUACCCUGGUCCUGGCACGGGUCCCUACCCUGGUGGCAUUGCAGUUUGCCCUCCUGCUCCUCCAGGAUACCCUGGUCCCGGCACAGUUCCUAGCCCUGGUGGCCCUGCAGUCUGCCCCUCGUUCCCCCCUCCACCUGGCCAUGGGCAGCACCCCCAUGGGCACCCCUCAUGUGGCCAUAAUCCCCAUGGACACCCCCCUCCGGGACCACCAGGAGUGCAGGUGUGUCCCCCUGACUGCCAUCAGAAGCACCAUAAGAAGCACCAUAAGAAGAAGAACUCCAAGCACCAUGGAGGCAAGCACUCCAGCGGCUCAAGCAGCAGCUCAAGCAGCAGCUCUGACUCUGACUGAACAUUUGGCAUUUCCCACCUGCACAGUACUGAUCAGCAAAACUUGAGGGAGUGCCGUGCCCUGCCCUGUGUGUUUUUCUGUUCCCCUUCCCUUUCCCUUACAGCACCGUUUUACCUGCUGACUCAUUUUCUCGGGUUUACUUUGUGAAUGAUUUGUCCUGGAAUCUCUGAGUCAUUGGACAGCAUCUCCAUUGUCUGUCUUUUGGGAGAGCCUGCUGAAAGUCAUCAUGUGCUUGUCUGCAA